AAUACAUUAGCUGUCUAAAAAUGAUCAAACCAAAACUUAUCAUAAGAUAAUUAGUCUGAUAAUGGUUUUCAAAAUUAUCUGAAAAGCUAAUCUGAUAAUGAAAACAUUAUCUUUGAUAAUUAGCGGUUAGCGGAUUAGCGGAACUGUGCCCACCACUGGUCAGCAGCGAUGUAAAAUAUACCACACUGUGGACAAUGGCGCUGGGGUUCCAGCUUUUUCCAGUUCAUGGCAGACCUAAGCCUUGGUGGUUUCUGGGUUCUUCCUCAACAUCCUAAUCAAUUUCCUCUCAUCGGAGGGUGACAGUUUUGGUCUUCUUCCAGACCUUGGCAAAGUGGUGACACAUCCAAGUUGUACUUGCAUACAAUUAUGUGAACUUCUGAUCUUAGAAUCUGCAGUUUUUUAGAAAUGGCUCCUAAUGACUAUCUCAGCUUGUGUAAAUCUACAAUUCUCCUUCUUGUAUUGUCACCGAGUUCUUUCGACUUUCCCAUUGUUCUGAGUAUUGGCCAGUCCAGUGAGUGCUGUCAGACACAGCCUUUUUAUGCUGGCAAAGAGAAACUACCAGUUGUAGUGAAUCAUGAUCACUAACAUGGAGUUAAUAGGCCUUGGCCUUGUUACUUUAAAAUUCAUUUGUUGAGUCUUUAAG